rnacentral:rRNA from 1 species
GACAGAGGGUGCAAACGUUGUUCGGAAUUACUGGGCGUAAAGCGUGCGCAGGCGGUUCGUUGUGUCGGUGGUGAAAUCCCCGGGCUUAACCUGGGAAUGGCCAUGGAAACUGGCGAACUGGAGUGCGGCAGAGGGGGGUGGAAUUCCGCGUGUAGCAGUGAAAUGCGUAGAGAUGCGGAGGAACACCGAUGGCGAAGGCAGCCCCCUGGGCUAGCACUGACGCUGAGCUGCGAAAGCUAGGGGAGCAAACAGG